UAGGAAGUGGUGUAGUGGAAGCACCAAGAGUUUUGAUCUCUUAAGGUGGGGUUCGAGUCCCCUCUUUCUAA
rnacentral:tRNA from 1 species